rnacentral:rRNA from 1 species
CAGUAGCCGCGGUAAUACGAAGGGUGCAAGCGUUAAUCGGAAUUACCGGGCGUAAAGCGUGCGUAGGCGGUUUGUUAAGUCUGUUGUGAAAUCCCCGGGCUCAACCUGGGAAUGGCAAUGGAUACUGGCAAGCUAGAGUGUGUCAGAGGAUGGUGGAAUUCCCGGUGUAGCGGUGAAAUGCGUAGAGAUCGGGAGGAACAUCAGUGGCGAAGGCGGCCAUCUGGGACAACACUGACGCUGAGGCACGAAAGCGUGGGGAGCAAACAGGAUUAGAUACCCCAGUAGUCCCUGUCUCUUAUAC